rnacentral:misc_RNA from 1 species
AAGGCUCCCUGCAGCCCCGUACAUCAAGGCGGCUUCACCGUGAGUGUCUGCCAGGCCUCGCGCACGAAGCAGUACGUCGUCGUUCACAUUGCGCGACAUGGCUGGGCACCGCACAGUUGAGCACAUUCUACAGAAAGUACUGCGUCUCACACAUGUUCGAGGCCGUCCUGGAGUUAACGGAUCGAUUCAAGGAUGCUAUGCUUAGCUUCGCCAAGUGCGCACAUAGAGACUGACCCUGUCUGAAGUACGAGGAUGCAGGCAAGCUAGAGGCACAGGUGGCAGAGGAUGCACGCCUACACCCCAAGCAAGUGCCGGUAUGCCUGCAAUCUGUGAGCUAGAGCAGCCGAUAAGGGGCCCUUCUGAGCUUCGCCAAUCUGUAACGGUGGAAGGGGCGGAGCGUAGCGUCCGUGCGGUCAGGGACUUUAUGACUGUCGCGUCUGUACACUGCGCCCGGUUACGUUCAAGCCUAACUUUGGAGUGGCCGCCCGAAACGCUUGUAUUCCACACGCGGGCCGGCAUGCAGCUGAAGCCCUUCAAGCCGCGGCAGCUACGACUGAAGAAGCAGCAGCGGAGAUGCCUACAAGGAUGCGGCUAAGAAAGGCAAGGAUGAGAGCAAAGCAGCCCGGGUGUGUAGCGCGUUGCUGCUGCGAAGAGAUAUGCCGAUGCGACAACGACCGCUGCCUCUGCUCAAGCUCCCACUCGACGGUCCGUUGUGCUGCACUACCGGCGUAAUCACAUCUACAGGGAAGAGGCGACGGACGAGAAUGGCACGAAGGCAAGCCUUGCUCAGCCCUCGUGUUCUGAGCAGGACAGGGGAAAACUGCGGGCUGUCACGGCUCGGCCAUCCUUGUCUCCCUCAGCGGAGGGAACACAAGGAGGCGAGAGAUGGGUUCUUUAGAGGCCCCAGCCAGUUCUUCGAUUCCUUAGCGCGCGGCUCCCCCUCCUUCCUCGCGUUUUCGCCGCUGUGACAAAGACUGCGCCUUCUGGGCAGCAGAAAUCCGCAGUCAGUACGAAAGCCGCGGUGCAGCCAAUGCAGCAUCCUUUUGAAGGGCUUGAUGUCUGCCGUGGCGGUCGUCGAUGCAGAGGCGGUGCUUCGUGAGGUAAUCGACUCACAGAGAGGGCGCGCAGCGGAUGUCCGUCGCCAAAGACGCGUCGGAGGCCGGCGGCUAUCGGAGACGCGAAAGCGCGACCAGCGGCAUGAGUGCUACACGUUGGCGAGCGCUGCGUUUUAUGUCAAGAGCGCUGGCUCACAUCGUCUGUUGACCGCAGACGGUGCCCCGUCCUCGUCUUCUGUUGCACGCUCGUGCGUCGAGGUACUCCUGGUUGUUUCCUUCGCUGUCCCUCCCUCCCCCCACCCCACUUCCCCCAGCUCCUUUCCGGUCUCUUUGCGCGCUCCCGUCAUCCGUUGCGGGUUUCUCUCACUCUGUGCCGUUGCCUUUGCCCGUGCUGACACUCCAG